rnacentral:rRNA from 1 species
GAUGAACGCUGGCGGCGUGCCUAAUACAUGCAAGUCGAGCGAACGGACGAGAAGCUUGCUUCUCUGAUGUUAGCGGCGGACGGGUGAGUAACACGUGGAUAACCUACCUAUAAGACUGGGAUAACUUCGGGAAACCGGAGCUAAUACCGGAUAAUAUUUUGAACCGCAUGGUUCAAAAGUGAAAGACGGUCUUGCUGUCACUUAUAGAUGGAUCCGCGCUGCAUUAGCUAGUUGGUAAGGUAACGGCUUACCAAGGCAACGAUGCAUAGCCGACCUGAGAGGGGGGGAGGCCAAACGGGAGGGGAAACACGACACGGACCCCGGGGGGGGGCAGGAGUGGGAAUUCUUCCGAAAGGGGCAAAAGCCGGAAGAAGCAACGCCGCGGGGGAGAUGAAGUUUUUGGGACCGAAAAACUCUUUUAUAGGGAAAAAAAAUAGGGGUAAUAACCUGCGCACAUUUGGCGGGCCCCUAAAAAAAAAGCCACGGCAAACUCCGUG